CUACGGGAGGCAGCAGUGAGGAAUAUUGGACAAUGGAGGCAACUCUGAUCCAGCCAUGCCGCGUGCAGGAAGACGGCCCUAUGGGUUGUAAACUGCUUUUAUACGGGAAGAAACCCAACUACGUGUAGUUGGCUGACGGUACCGUAAGAAUAAGCACCGGCUAACUCCGUGCCAGCAGCCGCGGUAAUACGGAGGGUGCAAGCGUUAUCCGGAAUCAUUGGGUUUAAAGGGUCCGUAGGCGGACUGAUAAGUCAGGGGUGAAAUCCAACAGCUUAACUGUUGAACUGCCUUUGAUACUGUUAGUCUUGAAUUAUAUGGAAGUAGAUAGAAUGUGUAGUGUAGCGGUGAAAUGCUUAGAGAUUACACAGAAUACCGAAUGCGAAGGCAGUCUACUACGUAUAUAUUGACGCUAAUGGACGAAGGCGUGGGGAGCGAACAGGAUUAGAUACCCGCGUAGUC
rnacentral:rRNA from 1 species